AUGGAGAGGAGGAUCCACAUGGAGCUGAGGAACCGGACCCCAGGAGCUGUUCAAGAACUGUCUUGGACAGUUGCAAAUCAAAUGAUGGAAAAAUUGAGGGCUUAACAGCUGAAUUUGUGAACUUAGAGUUUCCCAGUUUAAUAAAUGUAGGCUUGAUCUCAGUUUCAAAUCUCCCCAAACUGCCUAAAUUGAAAAAACUUGAGCUCAGUGACGAUAGAAUGGAGAUCUGGAUAUGUUAGCAGAAAAACUUCCAAAUCUCAGACAUCUAAACUUAAGUGGAAAUAAACUGAAAGACAUCAGCACCUUGGAAGCUUUGAAAAAGUUGGAAUGUCUAAAAAGCUUGGCCCACUUUAACUGUGAGGUCACUGACCUGAAUGACUACCAAGAGAGUGCCUUCAAGUUUCUGCCCCAGCUGACCUAUCUGGAUGGCUACAACCGAAAGGACCAGGAAACCCCUGACUCUGAUGCUGAGGUGGAUGGUGUGGAUGAAGAGGAGGAUGAAGAAGGAGAAAAUGAAGAGGAUGAAGAGGAUGAAGAUGGUGAAGAGGAAGAGUUCAAUGAUGAAGAGGAUGAAGAUGAAAAUGUAGAAGGGGAAGAAGACGAAGAUGAAGUUAGUGGGAAGGAAGAAGAUUUUGGACAUGAUAGAGAAGUUGAAGAAGAUGAAGAGGAUAAGGACGAGGAUGAGGAUGAAGAGGAGGAAGAAAGCAGGAAAGGUGAAAAGAGGAAGAGAGAAACAGAUGAUGAAGGAGAAGAUGAUUAAGAUCCCAAAUGACCUGCAGAAACAGAUCUGUUAAGUAUUGGUUGGACUGCUCAUGGAAUUGGUAGCUGUUU